GAACACAGUAUCGACUACCAACACAAAUUUAAUCUCGAUAAGACUAAAAUUAUAGACAGAAGUACCAACACAAACACAUUAGGCUUUUUAGAGAUGUGCCACAUCUACAAUACCCAAAACACCGUAAACAGAAGAGUAGACACACAAGGACUGAAUUCAACGUACGCAGCUAUUUUACACACAAUCAAAUCUCGAACCUAUAAUUCCACAACAAUAACGCAUAACCAUGAAAAUAGUCAAGACUCAAACCAUACACACAACCUAUCCUAGUAAAAAUAACCCUACAGUUAAAGAAAAUAGCUACUCCAUCCAAAAGUGCAAAAAUUAAAACAGUGAUUAAAUUUAGUAAAUGGACAAAUUUAACACAAAAACGAAUCAUAUGUACAACCUACCACAACAUAACACGACAACACUAUUAGCAAAGACAUUAGACGGUGAACGAUAUUCAUGAUUUUUCCCCUGAAGAAGGCACCAACAAUUGCCGAAACGUAGGGACGAAUCCUAAACGGUCGUUCUAGAGAACUUUAGACUGCAAAGCCGAACUCCCACCAAUCGUUACAUCCAAACAGUCGAACCCUCGAACAUCCAAAAA